AGCGCUUGUCUUGACAUAUGCUGUUUUCUAGUGUCGUUGCUUCCUUUAUUCCCCGCGGAUUGUACUUUUGCUAAGAGUAAUUUUUUAUGUGAUUAGUUCAAAAUGUAGCUUUGCUCUUGAUCUGAAGCUUGUUCACUAACUCACUAUAGAAUCCUGCAUAAGCUGAGAGAAGAAAGUUAAAAGGACAUAAAAAAGCUAGUCAAAUGGGAAUUUUAUGGCUUUGCCCUAAACAUCCCUUCUGAAACCGGUAUGGAACUAAGUGUAGUAUGGCUUUGAUUUAUCUCAACUGUGGAAAAGAGUGGUUAGUUGGUCAGUCUAACAAAUAGCUUAUUCAGAAGAUCUGUGCUUUCUCUGUUGAGAUUCCACUCCACUGACUAUGCAGUCUGGCUCUAUAAUAAUGAAGUUCUGCUCUAUGCCUUAAGCUUGAAACUCUGCAUCUGGGAUAUCUUUCCAAGCCUGUGAUUCUGCAAGCAUAGAGACUUUGUGCACGUUGCCCUGAUAUCUUAACAAUUAUACUUUGUUUCAAACUUUUCAGCUAGGCGCAGUGAAUGGACCUCAUCACUUACCAACCUUGUCUGGAGCAGUUAAGGGGUUAGUAAUAUAUAACACCCUUUUGAUAUGGGGUUAGGUGUUUCUCCUCUAAUGAUGUAAUAACUUUGCUGAAGUCAUAUGUUUUCGGGUUUUUGCAGUUUUCCGUUGACUCAACUUGUCCCAGCAAGGAAGCCUGAUCCAGACAACAAAGAUGCUGGUGAUGACAACGAUGAUGCAACUAGUGAGGACGAUGAUGAUGAUGUACCUAGCGAAGGGGAUGGUUCUGGAGAUGACAAUGACGACCAAGAAGACGGCUCGAGCGAUGAUGGCGGGGGGAAGGAUGAACUGAAGGUCAAUGGCGAAGGUGGAAGUGAUGAAGAAGAAGAGGAUGAUGACGAGGAUGAUGAUGAUGAAGAUGAUGAGGACGAGGACGAUGAUGACGAGGAUGAUGACGAUGAGGAGGAUGUGGACGAAGAUGAUGACGAGGACGACAUCCCUCAGCCACCAACCAAGAAGAGGAAAUGAAGAGAAUGGAUGAGGAAGACUUAGCAGACUUCUGCCAUUGUUGUUCUAUUAAUUUGUAACAUGAAAUGGAUAUUAUUAAGGUUAUGUGUCUAGAACUAUAACAGCGAGUGAGUUCCAAGUAUCAGUGUUGUCCUAAUGUUUAAGCUACUGUGGAUUUGAUGUAGUUAUCAAUCUUUGCUCAUGUGAUUGGUGGUUGUGUCGGGUGAAAAAAAAGCUGUAGUUGGUGGUGAAGUAGUCAUGGUUUUGCAAGUGUGCUGUGGACUGAAUGAUUUGAAAUAAGGGAGGCAGUUGACUUGACAGAAACAAAGGUCAAAUCCUUAAUCCAAUGGGAUUAUCC
rnacentral:lncRNA from 1 species